UACGGAGGGUGCAAGCGUUAUCCGGAAUUAUUGGGUUUAAAGGGUCCGUAGGCGGACCUUUAAGUCAGUGGUGAAAUCCUUCGGCUCAACCGGAGAACUGCCAUUGAAACUGAAGGUCUUGAAUAUAGUUGAAGUGGGCGGAAUAUGGCAUGUAGCGGUGAAAUGCUUAGAUAUGCCAUAGAACACCGAUAGCGAAGGCAGCUCACUAAGUUAUUAUUGACGCUAAGGGACGAAAGCGUGGGGAGCGAACAGGAUUAGAUACCCCCGUA
rnacentral:rRNA from 1 species